rnacentral:lncRNA from 10 species
UUUUAUCUACUUUUGGUCUUUGAUGAUGGUGAUGUACAGAUGGGUUUUUGGUGUGGAUGUCCUUUCUGUUUGUUAGUUUUCCUUCUAAACGACAGGACCCUCAGCUGCAGGUCUGUUGGAAUACCCUGCCGCGUGAGGUGUCAGUGUGCCCCUGCUGGGGGGUGCCUCCCAGUUAGGCUGCUCAGGGGUCUGGGGUCAGGGACCCACUUGAGGAGGCAGUCUGCCCGUUCUGAGAUCUCCAGCUGCGUGCUGGGAGAACCACUGCUCUCUUCAAAGCUGUCAGACAGGGGCAUUUAAGUCUGCAGAGGUUACUGCUGUCUUUUUGUUUGCCUGUGCCCUGCCCCCAGAGGUGGAGCCUACAGAGGCAGGCAGGCCUCCUUGAGCUGUGGUGGGCUCCACCCAGUUGGAGCUUCCCGGCUGCUUUGUUUACCUAAUCAAGCCUGGGCAAUGGCGGGCGCCCCUCCCCCAGCCUCGCUGCCGCCUUGCAGUUUGAUCUCAGACUGCUGUGCUAGUAAUCAACGAGAUUCCGUGGGUGUAGGACCCUCCGAGCCAGGUGCGGGUUAUAAUCUCGUGGUGCGCCGUUUUUUAAGCCCGUGGGAAAAGCGCAGUAUUCGGGUGGGAGUGACCCGAUUUUCCAGGUGCUGCCCGUCACCCCUUUCUUUGACUCAGAAAGGGAACUCCCUGACCCCUUGCACUUCCCAAGUGAGGCAAUGCCUUGCCCUGCUUCGGCUCGUGCACGGUGCGCGCACCCACUGACCUGCGCCCACUGUCUGGCACUCCCUAGUGAGAUGAACCCGGUACCUCAGAUGGAAAUGCAGAAAUCACCCGUCUUCUGCGUCGCUCACGCUGGGAGCUGUAGACCGGAGGUGUUCCUAUUUGGCCAACUUGGCUCCUCCUUUCUGCCCUGAAUUUUCUACAGUCAAAAAUUCAUAGGCUCACAGGGCCAGCAUUAGAAAUAUUCGUCCUCACUGCACUGACCGGGGAGAAGGUGAUCUGGAGUGGAGCGGACCAGGCCAAAUGCAUUACCUGAAUGCAGACUCAAUAAAUGUCCUCUGUGCUCAUAACAAUUUUUUUGGCCCCAUCACAAAGCCCACAAUAUUCCCAUGAGUAAGACUGCAGCAUCAUUGUUCACUAAGGAAAUGUAAUUGUUUUUUUUGUUUUGUUUUGUUUUUUUGCCAUUAAAACUUAUGAAGACCAAACACGGGUCCACAGUGGGAUCUUACUGGUAUACCCUUGCCUUUCAUAACAUAUUUGUCAUCAAAUUCUAUCAAAUCUACUGCUAUAAUAUGCCUCUCAAAUCCAGCCACUUGUAUCCAUUUCCACUGCCACUACCCUAGACCAGGCUUCUAGCAUCUCUUACCUAAUAAUUCUGAUCCUCUUUAACUGCCUCUACCCUUUUUCCCCUCCAAAUCCUUCUCCGCACUGCAGCCAGAGUGAUUUUUGUAAAAUGCCAAUUUGAUCAAAUCUCUAAUUUAAAGACCUUCAAAUGGCUUAAAAUCUUUCAAUGAUCCCCUAUAGCUCUAAAAGUCCAACUUCUGUCUAACCCUCCAGGCUUAUCUCUUACUACUCUCUGUCUCCUAAACAUCUUUUGAAAUUGGCCAUUUCUUUGUUGCUCUACACCGUGAGUCCAAUCUGCCACCAUACUCAAUCAGUACUCUUGAACAGCUUGCAAACAGUUUUUCCUAGCUUCAGCCAUGCCCCCUUUGAAUCCACCUUC